rnacentral:misc_RNA from 1 species
AACGCACCUUGCGCUCCAUGGUAUUCCGUGGAGCAUGUCUGUCUGAGUGUCAUGAACCUCUCAAUACCCACCAUCCUUUGUUGAUGGCCGUGGAAUUGGAUCGUGAGUGCCUGCUGGACCUCGUGAAUCAGCUCACUCUAAAUGCAUAAGCGGUUGGACCGUGUGUGGUCAGACCUGGCGUAAUAGUUUUUGUUCGCUGGGGAUUCACCCUCGUGGUGAGCCACUCUAUCUGGACAUCUGCUCAGAGCAAACCCCCUAGUCUAAGUGUUAGACCUCAGAUCAGGCAGGACUACCCGCUGAACUUAA